rnacentral:rRNA from 1 species
GGACCCGCACAAGUAGUGGAGCAUGUGGUUUAAUUCGAAGAUACGCGCAGAACCUUACCAACACUUGACAUGUUCGUCGCGACUCUAAGAGAUUAGAGUUUUCGGUUCGGCCGGACGAAACACAGGUGCUGCAUGGCUGUCGUCAGCUCGUGUCGUGAGAUGUUGGGUUAAGUCCCGCAACGAGCGCAACCCUCACUUUUAGUUGCCAUCAUUUGGUUGGGCACUCUGAAAGAACUGCCAGUGAUAAGCUGGAGGAAGGUGGGGAUGACGUCAAGUCCUCAUGGCCCUUACGUGUUGGGCUACACACGUGCUACAAUGGUAUCUACAACAGGAAGCAAAACUGCGAAGUUAAGCAAAUCCUUAAAAGAUAACCUCAGUUCGGAUUGCACUCUGCAACUCGAGUGCAUGAAGCUGGAAUUACUAGUAAUCGUGGAUC